UUGGAUGGCUCUGUGGGAAUAUUGUAUUUCUUAGUGUUUCAGCUUUUGUAUCCAAAAGUGUUUAUUAUCGAACAUUUCAAAUAAGUGUUUUAGUUUAUAAUGUGUGGGUACGCAUUCUUGUCAUGUGUUAAUAAGUUUCCAAAAUAAUAUAAACGUAACGUACUUAAUGGCGGACGAUCUGCAAAACUACAAAUUGCAAUUGCAACAGAUCUAAGAGUUCAGCAAAACACCAAGUCGAAUUUAACGCCAAAAAACUACUACUAUUUCAAACACUUCUCUUAUUCUAGAGGAGAGUCGAUCUAGCCAUGUCCGUCUUUUUGUCCCUCCGUUUGUACGCAAACUAGUUUCUCAGUUUUGAAGCUACAUGCACGAACCUUUCGCAAAAGUUGUCUUUAUAUUGCAGGUAAUAUAGAAGUCGGAACGAGCCGGGUCGGACAACUAUAGCAUACAUAUAUCUUCCAUGGGAACUAUCGAGGAUAUUAUUAUUUCAGUCAGAAGUUUAAAACGCUGUGAAGGAGACAUCUCCGACCCUAUAAAGUGU